rnacentral:rRNA from 1 species
UGCGUAGGCGGGCUAAUAAGUCAGUGGUGAAAUCUUUCGGCUCAACCGAGAAACUGCCAUUGAUACUGUUAGUCUUGAGUUCGGUUGAGGUAGGCGGAAUGUGUAAUGUAGCGGUGAAAUGCUUAGAUAUUACACAGAACACCAAUUGCGUAGGCAGCUUACUAGACCGACACUGACGCUGAGGCACGAAAGCGUGUGGAGCGAACAGGAUUAGAUACCCUGGUAGUCC